GCCUGCUGGGAUAUCUCAGUCGGUAGAGCAUGAGACUCUUGAUCUUAGAGUUGUGGGUUCUAGCCCCACGUUAGGCA
rnacentral:tRNA from 1 species